rnacentral:misc_RNA from 1 species
AACGCACCUUGCGCUCCUUGGUAUUCCGAGGAGCAUGCCUGUUUGAGUGUCAUUAAUAUAUCAACCUCUUUAAAUUUUUGAGAGUGUUUGGAUGUGGGGGUUAUUUUGCUGGCCUUCUCCAAGGUCAGCUCCCCUGAAAUGUAUUAGCGGAACAAUUUGUUGACCGUUCAUUGGUGUGAUAGCAUAUCUACGCUAUUGACGUAAAGCAAGUUCAGCUUAUAACAGUCCAUUGACUUGGACAAUUCUCUAUUUAUUAAUGUGACCUCAAAUCAGGUAGGACUACCCGCUGAACUUAA